UAAAAUAAGAUACCUGUUUCAAAAAGAAAAUACAGUAUUUCAGUUUCUUAUUGACAUGGAGCUUUUUCAAGCAGAGAACUGAGUCUUGUUAGUAUAGGGAAGGCUAUUAAUCCUACUCUUCUGGGGACCUGGAAUGGAUCUGAAAGGAUGACAGGAUUCCCCUGGUAUGGACACACAUUGCAGAAUUAUAAUUAAUUAGGAAAUAUGAGUAAAAGACUUCUCAUAUCUGUAGAAACAAAGUAACCUGCAGAUGUUUCAUCAAACUUACAGUGCAUGAACUGCUGUCAAUAGCAUGGAUGAGAAAGCCAGCACAUAUGAUUUCACUUCUGACGUACUGUGGAGAAGGUGGGACCGAUGGCAGAAUGACCGACUUCACUGCCACGGUACAUGCACACUGGGAGAACGCCACGUGAAGAUGAAGGCAGAAGUUGGGUGACACAUCUACAAGCCAAGGAACACCAAAGAUUGCCAGAAAACCACCAGAAGCUCAGGGAGAGGCCUGGAACAGGCUCUCCCUCACUCCUUCAGGAGGAACCAACGCUACCAACACCUUGAUCUUAGACUUCUAGCUUCCAUAACUCACACAACAGUAACCAUGACACACACUUUCUUGAGCUGAAAUCAGCAGUUUAAAAUGCUGCUUUUACUGGUGGAACAAUCAGGAAGAACAAUUUUCAUCACUGUCAGAAAACAUCAGACCUUCUCUCCUUUCAUUACGUCGGACUAGACACCCAGAGAGCAGCUCUUUGUUAUGCAAUUUGCAAGGUAAGAUCUUACACCAUAAAAUCCUUAUACCCAGGCCCCUUACCUGCCCAGACGAAUUCUCUUGCGUGCAAUAGCUCCACAAUACCGUCUAAAAUCAUCCUUUAUUAAAAAACAAACAAACAAAAAACAACAACAACAAAGUAAAAUCAAUAAAUUUCUAAUACUUUAGUGCUAUAAUCUUAAGUCUCUCUCUUUCCAAGUCAGCUGAAGAAGCUAACUGGGACCCAGUGUCUGCGUGAAUGCUGCUCAGGUGAGAGUUGGCAAUAAGGCAACUGCAGGUAAUUCCCAUGAACGUGGAGCAGCACAGAGAUGCGGAUGUAAAGUGGGAGAAGAGAAUCAGAAAUGGGAAAGGAAGACACUAUGCUUCCAAUAGCAGUGCAUGGCCCAGUUGAGGUGAGAUAGGCAGGGCCCCCAGUGAGACAGUAUAGGGGUAAUAUCUGGACUCCAUCUUGGAGGCCUGACUAUGGCUCCUUGCUCAGGAACCUUCCCAUAGUUGAAAUUAACCUAAUCACAUCCUUAAAGGGAAGAAUGCACAAUAACAUUUUUAACAUCAUGUUCUGCAAAAUAGUUGCUUUGUCUAUUAAGUGGUAACUAGAAUAUUUGCCCAAGCAUUAUUUUAGGCCCUUUGAGUGGUCCACUGACCAUGGAAAAUAUCUGUGACUACCCCGGGAUCAACCACUGGCAAGUGACGAUCAUGGGACAACUGACCUCCUCCUCAUUCCCAAGCCCGACACCCACCCCAAGCCAUCCACAAGAACCCUCCGGGAGCUCGACCUCUCUUUUCUGGUCAACUCCCUUGUGCAUAAGCUCUUUUCAAUAAAUUCUAUCUGCUU